rnacentral:rRNA from 1 species
GACGAACGCUGGCGGCGUGCCUAAUACAUGCAAGUAGAACGCACAGUUUAUACCGUAGCUUGCUACACCAUAGACUGUGAGUUGCGAACGGGUGAGUAACGCGUAGGUAACCUGCCUGGUAGCGGGGGAUAACUAUUGGAAACGAUAGCUAAUACCGCAUAAUAUUAAUUAUUGCAUGAUAAUUGAUUGAAAGAUGCAACUGCAUCACUACCAGAUGGACCUGCGUUGUAUUAGCUAGUAGGUGAGGUAACGGCUCACCUAGGCGACGAUACAUAGCCGACCGGCGAGGGGGAUCGGCCACACUGGGACUGAGACACGGCCCAGACUCCUACGGGAGGCAGCAGGAGGGAAUCUUCGGCAAUGGACGAAAGUCUGACCGAGCAACGCCGCGGGAGUGAAGAAGGUUUUCGGAUCGUAAAGCUCGGUUGUAAGAGAAGAACGGGUGUGAGAGUGGAAAGUUCACACUGUGACGGUAUCUUACCAGAAAGGGACGGCUAACUACGUG